rnacentral:rRNA from 1 species
CUACGGGUGGCAGCAGUGAGGAAUAUUGCACAAUGGGGGGAACCCUGAUGCAGCAACGCCGCGUGGAGGAUGACGCAUUUCGGUGUGUAAACUCCUUUUAUAUGUCAAGAAAAUGACGGUAGCAUAUGAAUAAACACCGGCUAACUCCGUGCCAGCAGCCGCGGUAAUACGGAGGGUGCAAGCGUUACUCGGAAUCACUGGGCGUAAAGGACGCGUAGGCGGGUUGGAAAGUCAGGUGUGAAAUCCUACAGCUUAACUGUAGAACUGCACUUGAAACUUCUAAUCUAGAGUAUGGGAGGGGAGAUGGAAUUAGUGGUGUAGGGGUAAAAUCCGUAGAUAUCACUAGGAAUACCUAAAGCGAAGGCGAUCUCCUGGAACAUUACUGACGCUAAGGCGUGAAAGCGUGGGGAGUAAACAGGAUUAGAUACCCCGGUAGUC